UACUCGGUAGGCCUCGUGGAAAAUAUAUCAGAGAACAUGAAAGUUCAGCGUCACUUCAACCCUGCAAAGAGCCUCUCAAAAGGAAAGAUUGAACAGCAAAUGACUCUUGAACAACUUCAGAGACUGAAUUCUGCAUUUCAGGAGCUAGAAAAGGAUGGCUACAAAUCACUAGAUGUAGAGAAGUUUAAGCAGAUAAUGAAGAAG